rnacentral:rRNA from 1 species
UACGGAGGGUGCAAGCGUUAUCCGGAUUCACUGGGUUUAAAGGGUGCGUAGGCGGGCCGAUAAGUCAGUGGUGAAAUACCUGAGCUUAACUUGGGAACUGCCAUUGAUACUAUUUGUCUUGAAUGUCGUGGAGGUUAGCGGAAUAUGUCAUGUAGCGGUGAAAUGCUUAGAGAUGACAUAGAACACCUAUGGCGAAGGCAGCUAACUACGCGAAUAUUGACGCUGAGGCACGAAAGCGUGGGGAGCAAACAGG